CUCCCAACAAUGGCACUCAAAUUCUCUCAUUUUCUCAUGCCCUCUCUGUCACAUUCGUAGCUCGAUCUCCUUCUUCUGGGACUUAGCGUUCUGAGCAUGCGGUUUUUGCAACGGCCAUUUCGUGCCGCUUCGAUCUCAUCACCUUCUCUCCCCUCCCACCCCCCUUUUUGAUCCACACUUUGGGGCUUGCAAAUUUUUGACAUGUCAAAUGAGAGUGAAGCCAAAAUGUAAACAGCAAGUGUUUGCGUGUGCGGCGAUCUUAUUAAACAUAAAACUAACCACGACAGUAUUAUUUAGUUGUGGUGGAAGCCAAAAAAAUAGCUUGGAGCAUUCAAUAAAGCAGGAUGAAAUUUUUAACCUUCAAGCACGACGCUGACGCUGAGGUAAGGUGUGCUUGUGUUUAAUUUCGAUGAUUGUUUCAUUUUAGGAUGUGAUUUGUGCCAUAUAACCUUUUCUGACGGGGAUUCUUUAGUCGACAUCGUCUGCAGCUGUUAAGCGGUGCAGAGGAAGGGGCUCGCUACGACCCUUCCCACACCCGGACGCUUUUUCCGGGGAUGAAGGAAAUGUUCCCGGCUAUAUGCGCAAAAUCUAACGGUAACCCGUGUUGUGAACGAAUCGGCAUAUGCGGUGCCGGACACUGUGGAAAUUGUACACAACGGGACGAUGUCCAGGCACGACACAAGAGUACGAUUACAUGCAACUGAUCUGCUGCAAGGAAAGGAUUUCGACGUGUGGAACAAGGAUGUGCUGAAUGCGUUCCUGAUCGAUAUCACGUGGAUAAUUCUACUGCGACUAUAAGGGAUACUUGCUGGAUUGUAUUCGUGACAGGGCCGGCCAGAAGGGUGUGGGCAAGUUGACGGAAAUUGUCGCAAUGUACCAUAGCGUUCCGGUGAUGCCAAAAGACGAAGCAGACUUCUCCAGCUACUUAUCCACGCCGAAGGAUGAACGUGCUCAGGGCAGCAAACAACUCGCCGGAGCACGGAGCGCGAAAGGCAUCGUACGCGCAAGGCUUCAUGCUGCUGCGCGAAGCGGAUGUAUGGCGUUGCUUCCUUGUACUUAAACAUAUACAUCUUUGAGUUGUAUGAGUCCCGUAAAUGGUCAUGCCACUUGAAAACAUACGUUCCCAUUAGACCUCAUCAAUAGAUCAUCUAAUAAACGACGGCGCUGUAUUGAAAGCGGUUCAUGGUAGACCUCAAAACUGGUUAGCACUUGAUAAAAAGUUCUACACAAGGACACUUCUGGGAACUACUCGUCGAAGCAUCGGGAGCUCGUCCGACGUUUGAUGUCAUGAUUAUCUAAAAUAAUAGGUACAGAUUUACCGGAAGCCGAACAACUAUUUCACUAACUAAUACGAGCUGGAAUAGGAAAAAACGUAAAUCCGGAACUGAUUUUUAGCUACUCAAAACGACGCCACUUGUCGACUUGUUAUUGUUCAAUAAAACGCAUGCAAACCAAA